rnacentral:lncRNA from 1 species
GGACCAGUGCUGAUGGUGUUGGUCCCAAACGGUCUGCCUGCGGGGCCACCACAGGGAAACUCGAGGUUUGGCACCCGUAGCUAGUUCCAUCCAUCGUGUCCUGAGAACGAGAUACGCGGCUCCUAUCGGGAUCGUCGACACGUCGGGCGGCCUUGCUGGAUUAGUUUUACCUUUGACGAGAUAUCUUGUGCAUCGGGAUUCUGGUGAUGCUUUGGGU